AUUGAACGCUGGCGGCAUGCUUUACACAUGCAAGUCGAACGGCAGCGCGGUCUUCUUCCUGGCUGCGAGUGGCGAACGGGUGAGUAAUGCAUCUGAACGUGCCCAGUUGUGGUGGAGAGCCCGGCGAAAGCCGUAGUAAUACCACAUACUACCUGAUGGUGAAAGCGGGUGGGCGAAAGGCCUCUCGCUAUGGUGGCGGCCGAUGCCGGAUUAGCUAGUUGGUGGGGGAAAGGCUUACCAAGGCGACGAUCCGUAGCUGGUCUGAGAGGACGACCAGCCAGACUGGGACUGAGACACGGCACAGACUCCUACGGGAGGCAGCAGUGGGGAAUUUUGGACAAUGGGGGCAAACCUGAUCCAGCCAUGCCGCGUGCGGGAAGAAGGCCUUCGGGUUGUAAACCGCUUUUGUUCGGGAAGAAAUCCUCUGGGCUAAUACCCCGGGGGGAUGACGGUACCGGAAGAAUAAGCACCGGCUAAAUACGUG
rnacentral:rRNA from 1 species